GCGGCCGCCUGCCCCGCCCCUGCCCCCGCCCCCUGUCCUGAGCACCGUUGCUAACCCCCAGUCCUGUCACAGUGACCGUGUCUACCAGGUGGGUGAGGCCACGGGUGGCAGCUGGGGCGGGUCUCAGGGCUCUCUGGAGGGGAGUGAAGCCCUGGCUGUGUCUCCCUGUAGGGCUGCCUGACGCCCGCCCGCCUGGAGCCGCAGCCCACGGAGGUCGGAGCCUGCCCACCCGCCUUGUCCUCCAGGAUCGGAGUCACCCUGAGGAAGCCCCGCGGCGACGCGAAGAAGUGCCGGAAGGUGUAUGGCAUGGAGCGCCGGGACCUCUGGUGCACAGCCUGCCGCUGGAAGAAAGCCUGCCAGCGGUUCCUGGACUAAGUCCGGCUCGUUCAAGAACAUAAGCUACCACCUUCUCCCUCCCCACCCCCUCCAGGCCCGGGGCUGAAACAGCCCGAGGACAGCCCCAGGGGCUGGCUUUCACCAGCUGCAGGGUCUGCUUUUACUU
rnacentral:lncRNA from 10 species